rnacentral:rRNA from 1 species
UACGGAGGUGCAAGCGUUAUCCGGAUUUACUGGGUUUAAAGGGUGCGUAGGUGGGCAGGUAAGUCAGUGGUGAAAUCUCCGAGCUUAACUCGGAAACUGCCAUUGAUACUAUCUGUCUUGAAUAUCCUGGAGGUGAGCGGAAUAUGUCAUGUAGCGGUGAAAUGCUUAGAUAUGACAUAGAACACCAAUUGCGAAGGCAGCUCACUACGGGAUAAUUGACGCUGAGGCACGAAAGCGUGGGGAUCAAACAGG